rnacentral:rRNA from 1 species
UACGGGGGGUGCAAGCGUUGCUCGGAAUCACUGGGCGUAAAGCGUCCGCAGGUGGACGCGCAAGUCGGACGUGAAAUCCCGGGGCUCAACCCCGGAACUGCGUUCGAAACUGCGUGUCUCGAGUACGGGAGAGGGAAGUGGAAUUCCUGGUGUAGAAGUGAAAUUCGUAGAUAUCAGGAGGAACACCGGUGGCGAAAGCGGCUUCCUGGCCCGAUACUGACACUCAUGGACGAGAGCGUGGGGAGCAAACAGG